rnacentral:lncRNA from 1 species
ACUUUAUUAAUAUAUUAUUAUGAAAUAUUAAAAUAAUUUAAUUUAAUAUUAAAAUAUAUUUAUAAAUUUUAUUUUUCUGAUAUAUGUAAUAUGUACUUAUACAUAUUUUACAUUAGAAUUUAAAUGCACUGUGAGGAGGGAUUUUUCAGUUCUUUUUCCUUGCAUUCCUACUGCCUAGCCCAUUUCCUGGCAUGUAGUAGGUAUUUAAUAAUUAUCUGUUGAUUGAGUAAAGGUCUCUUCUAGCUCUAAAGACUAUAAAUGUGUUACCAAAUACACCAUUCUAGACCCAGAGUCAGAGUAAUCAUAUUCUGAAUUAGUCAAAAGGGGAGCCACAUCAUCAUCCUCUUGGAGUAAGAUGUGGAAGGGGCAGGACUCCAAGCCUUCUUCUUCUCAUCUUGCCAGAAGAACUGAUUUGUUCAAGCCCUAAGAUACACCAGAGUCAAGUUUGUGAGGAUCAUUUGGCUGUUCCAACAUUCCACUUUACAAACAUUCUACCUGGAGCUUGAGGACUAUUACUGCUUCCCUAUCACACUACCUCCCUUCCUGUGUGACUACAGAAUUUUCUUGGUUAUAAAGGAAUGGCUCUCUGGGGAAAGAACUUCAAGAGAAAAUUUAAGGUCAAUGAGUAUCCAGAGAUAAAAUGAACCAGGUUAUGGACUCAUGAACUUCAAAAGGUCAGAAGAACCAUCAGAAUUCCCCUCAGCAACCAGUCAAUAGCCCAGAGCUGGUCAGAACAUUAGCUAAGUCCAUUAUGGAGUGGUACCUGAGAAGUGAUUUCUUGACUCAUUGCAACAAGAUGCUGACCCAGCACCUGGGACAUUGCAUCCUUUAAGGAGUUAGCCCAGCUGAGAAAGG